rnacentral:rRNA from 1 species
AGAGUUUGAUCCUGGCUCAGGACGAACGCUGGCGGCGCGCCUAACACAUGCAAGUCGAACGAGCGAGAGAGAGCUUGCUUUCUCAAGCGAGUGGCGAACGGGUGAGUAACGCGUGAGGAACCUGCCUCAAAGAGGGGGACAACAGUUGGAAACGACUGCUAAUACCGCAUAAGCCCACAGCUCGGCAUCGAGCAGAGGGAAAAGGAGCAAUCCGCUUUGAGAUGGCCUCGCGUCCGAUUAGCUAGUUGGUGAGGUAAUGGCCCACCAAGGCGACGAUCGGUAGCCGGACUGAGAGGUUGAACGGCCACAUUGGGACUGAGACACGGCCCAGACUCCUACGGGAGGCAGCAGUGGGGAAUAUUGCACAAUGGGGGAAACCCUGAUGCAGCGACGCCGCGUGGAGGAAGAAGGUCUUCGGAUUGUAAACUCCUGUUGUUGAGGAAGAUAAUGACGGUACUCAACAAGGAAGUGACGGCUAACUACGUGCCAGCAGCCGCGGUAAAACGUAGGUCACAAGCGUUGUCCGGAAUUACUGGGUGUAAAGGGAGCGCAGGCGGGAAGACAAGUUGGAAGUGAAAUCUAUGGGCUCAACCCAUAAACUGCUUUCAAAACUGUUUUUCUUGAGUAGUGCAGAGGUAGGCGGAAUUCCCGGUGUAGCGGUGGAAUGCGUAGAUAUCGGGAGGAACACCAGUGGCGAAGGCGGCCUACUGGGCACCAACUGACGCUGAGGCUCGAAAGUGUGGGUAGCAAACAGGAUUAGAUACNCUGGUAGUCCACACCGUAAACGAUGAUUACUAGGUGUUGGAGGAUUGACCCCUUCAGUGCCGCAGUUAACACAAUAAGUAAUCCACCUGGGGAGUACGACCGCAAGGUUGAAACUCAAAGGAAUUGACGGGGGCCCGCACAAGCAGUGGAGUAUGUGGUUUAAUUCGACGCAAUGCGAAGAACCUUACCAAGUCUUGACAUCCCUUGACGAUGCUGGAAACAGUAUUUCUCUUCGGAGCAAGGAGACAGGUGGUGCAUGGUUGUCGUCAGCUCGUGUCGUGAGAUGUUGGGUUAAGUCCCGCAACGAGCGCAACCCUUACUGUCAGUUACUACGCAAGAGGACUCUGGCAGGACUGCCGUUGACAAAACGGAGGAAGGUGGGGAUGACGUCAAAUCAUCAUGCCCUUUAUGACUUGGGCUACACACGUACUACAAUGGCGUUAAACAAAGAGAAGCAAGACCGCGAGGUGGAGCAAAACUCAGAAACAACGUCCCAGUUCGGACUGCAGGCUGCAACUCGCCUGCACGAAGUCGGAAUUGCUAGUAAUCGUGGAUCAGCAUGCCCCGGUGAAUACGUUCCCGGGCCUGUACACACCGCCCGUC